UCGCAUCUGUGCAUGCAGCAUAUCAAUAAGCGGAGGAAAAGAAACUAACAAGGAUUCCCCUAGUAACGGCGAGUGAAGCGGGAAGAGCUCAAAUUUGAAAUCUUAAAGGGUUUCCCUUUACGAAUUGUAGUUUAAAGAAGUGUUUUCUGUUGAGGUUUUGGUAAAAGUUCUUUGGAAUAGGGACAUCAUAGAGGGUGAGAAUCCCGUAUUUGACCUUUACUUUCAACUUUGUGAUACACUUUCAAAGAGUCGGAUUGUUUGGGAAUGCAGUCCAAAAUGGGUGGUAAAUUUCAUCUAAAGCUAAAUAUUGGCGAGAGACCGAUAGCGAACAAGUACCGUGAGGGAAAGAUGAAAAGAACUUUGAAAAGAGAGUUAAACAGUACGUGAAAUUGUCAAAAGGGAAGCGUUUGACACCAGUGUUGUUUUUCUGAAAAUCAAUUAAAGAACUGUUUAUGCUAAGCUGUUUAGACUUUAUCAGCUAUCUGUUUAGUUUUGAGCUUUUCUUUAAUGCACUUUUCAGUUAACAAGUCAACAUCAAUUUCUUUUGCUGUAAAAAAGCUUGAGGAAGGUGGCUUGAGAUUCGUCUUAAGUGUUUAUAGCCUCUUGCCUAUGCAGUCGGAGAGAUUGAGGUCUGCAGCGUAGAUCCUUCGGGGCUAAGUGCAUUUGUGCUAAGUUAUAGCAUUUUAUAGACAACUUGUUGACUAUGAUUUGUCUUGUAGCUUACUCGCUUAUGUUAUUUUACCUACGCUUAGGAUGUUGAAUCUGUGCGAGACUAC
rnacentral:rRNA from 1 species